rnacentral:rRNA from 1 species
GGCGGCCGUAACAAUAACGGUCCUAAGGUAGCGAAAUUCCUUGUCGGGUAAGUUCCGACCUGCACGAAUGGCGUAAUGAUGGCCACGCUGUCUCCACCCAAGACUCAGUGAAAUUGAAAUCGCUGUUAAGAUGCAGUGUAUCCGCGGCUAGACGGAAAGACCCCGUGAACCUUUACUAUAGCUUCACAGUGGACUUUGAAUUUAUUUGUGUAGGAUAGGUGGGAGACUUUGAAGCGUUGUCGCUAGAUAGCGUGGAGUCAACCUUGAAAUACCACCCUGAUAACUUUGAGGUUCUAACUUAGGUCCCUAAUCGGGAUUGAGGACAUUGUGUGGUGGGUAGUUUGACUGGGGCGGUCUCCUCCCAAAGAGUAACGGAGGAGCACGAAGGUACCCUAAGGACGGUCGGAAAUCGUCCGCUUAGUGUAAUGGCACAAGGGUGCUUGACUGCGAGAGUGACAACUCGAGCAGGUGCGAAAGCAGGUCAAAGUGAUCCGGUGGUUCUGUAUGGAAGGGCCAUCGCUCAACGGAUAAAAGGUACUCUGGGGAUAACAGGCUGAUACCGCCCAAGAGUUCACAUCGACGGCGGUGUUUGGCACCUCGAUGUCGGCUCAUCACAUCCUGGGGCUGAAGCCGGUCCCAAGGGUAUGGCUGUUCGCCAUUUAAAGAGGUACGUGAGCUGGGUUUAAAACGUCGUGAGACAGUUUGGUCCCUAUCUGCCGUGGGCGUUGGAAAUUUGAAGGGGGCUGUUCCUAGUACGAGAGGACCGGAAUGGACGUAUCUCUGGUGUACCGGUUGUCACGCCAGUGGCAUUGCCGGGUAGCUAAAUACGGAAGAGAUAAACGCUGAAAGCAUCUAAGCGUGAAACUUGCCUUAAGAUAAGAUUUCCCUGAGGACUUGAUCCUCCUGAAGGGCCGUUGAAGACCACGACGUUGAUAGGCUGGGUGUGGAAGCGCAGUAAUGCGUUAAGCUAACCAGUACUAAUUGCCCGU